CCGAUCUCUUCCCUUUCUCCUCCCCUUUUACCCUCUCCUUCUCAGCUGCUGUUAUUACGUGGAGUUUGGAGCCUAAGCUUUGAAAACUCCCAUGUGGCGCGCCCGUCUUAAGUCUGAGCAUGCUCAGCA
rnacentral:lncRNA from 1 species